rnacentral:lncRNA from 1 species
AAUCUUUUCCUAUAUGUACAGCCAAUUUGAUUCCUAAUUUGUAUAUGGUAACAUUAACAUUUCCUAUAUGUACAACCAAUUUCAUUCCUAAUUUGUAUAUGGUAACUUUAACAUCCCCCCUCAAAUUGAUGCUGGUAAGUCAACCAGCAACAAUUUGCCAACAAGAAAUUGAUGUCGCUGUCGAGUCAAAGCUUUGGUGAAGAUAUCAGCCACUUGGAGAUCAGAAGAGAUGUGAGGAAGAGAUAUCACCCAACUUUCCAAGGUGUCUCGAAUAGAAUGACAAUC